AGUAAAAGUCGUAACAAGGUCUCCGUAGGUGAACCUGCGGAGGGAUCAUUACACAAAUAUGAAGCCGGACUGGGAUAGGGCCUCGCUGCCUUGCCCGUCUGGCGCCAUAUUCACCCAUGUCUUUUUGCGUACUACUUGUUUCCUUGGCGGGUCCGCCCGCCAAUUGGACCUUAUUCAAACCUUUUUUUCAGUUGCAAUCAGCGUCAGCAAAACAAAUGUAAUCAAUUACAACUUUCAACAACGGAUCUCUUGGUUCUGGCAUCGAUGAAGAACGCAGCGAAAUGCGAUAAGUAGUGUGAAUUGCAGAAUUCAGUGAAUCAUCGAAUCUUUGAACGCACAUUGCGCCCUUUGGUAUUCCAAAGGGCAUGCCUGUUCGAGCGUCAUUUGUACCCUCAAGCUUUGCUUGGUGAUGGGCGUCUUGUCUCUCUCCCGAGACUCGCCUUAAAAUCAUUGGCAGCCGGCCUACUGGUUUCGGAGCGCAGCACAUUAUUUGCGCUCUUGUCCAGCCGCGGUCGCGCGUCCAUGAAGCUUCUUUCAACCUUUUGACCUCGGAUCAGGUAAGGAUACCCGCUGAACUUAAGCAUAUCAAUAAGCGGAGGA
rnacentral:rRNA from 1 species